AUUGAACGCUGGCGGCAGGCUUAACACAUGCAAGUCGAGCGGCUGCGCGGGGCUUGCCCCUGCGGCCAGUGGCGGACGGGUGAGUAAUGCAUCGGAACGUGCCCGGUAGUGGGGGAUAACGUCGGGAAAGGGGCGCUAAUACCGCAUACGACCUGAGGGUGAAAGCGGGGGAUCUUCGGACCUCACGCUAUCAGAUGAGCCUAUGUCGGAUUAGCUAGUUGGUGGGGUAAAGGCCUACCAAGGCGACGAUCCGUAACUGGUCUGAGAGGAUGAUCAGCCACACUGGAACUGAGACACGGUCCAGACUCCUACGGGAGGCAGCAGUGGGGAAUAUUGGACAAUGGGCGCAAGCCUGAUCCAGCCAUGCCGCGUGUGUGAAGAAGGUCUUCGGAUUGUAAAGCGCUUUUGGUCGGGAAGAAGUGCAGUGAGCUAAUACCUUGCGGUUUUGACGUUACCGACAGAAUAAGCACCGGCUAACUACGUG
rnacentral:rRNA from 1 species